ACGGCUCAGUAACACGUGGACAACCUACCCUUGGGUCUGGCAUAAUCCUGGGAAACUGGGUAUAAUUCCAGAUAGGUCACAGAUGCUGGAAUGCACUGUGGCCGAAAGCUCCGGCGCCCAAGGAUGGGUCUGCGGCCUAUCAGGUAGUAGUGGGUGUAGCGUACCUACUAGCCUACGACGGGUACGGGUUGUGAGAGCAAGAGCCCGGAGAUGGAUUCUGAGACACGAAUCCAGGCCCUACGGGGUGCAGCAGGCGCGAAAACUUUACAAUGCUGGCAACAGCGAUAAGGGAACCUCGAGUGCCAGGUUACAAAUCUGGCUGUCGAGAUGCCUAAAAAGCAUUUCAUAGCAAGGGCCGGGCAAGACCGGUGCCAGCCGCCGCGGUAACACCGGCGGCUCGAGUGGUAACCGUUAUUAUUGGGUCUAAAGGGUCUGUAGCCGGCCGGAUAAGUCUCUUGAGAAAUCUGGCAGCUUAACUGUCAGGCUUUCAGGAGAUACUGUCUGGCUCGAGGCCGGGAGAGGUGAGAGGUACUUCAGGGGUAGGGGUGAAAUCUUGUAAUCCUUGAAGGACCACCAGUGGCGAAGGCGUCUCACCAGAACGGACCUGACGGCAAGGGACGAAAGCUAGGGGCACGAACCGGAUUAGAUACCCGGGUAGUCCUAGCCGUAAACGAUACUCGCUAGGUGUCGGCCACGGUGCGACCGUUGUCGGUGCCGUAGGGAAGCCGUGAAGCGAGCCACCUGGGAAGUACGGCCGCAAGGCUGAAACUUAAAGGAAUUGGCGGGGGAGCAC
rnacentral:rRNA from 1 species